rnacentral:lncRNA from 1 species
ACCUAAGUCUUGUCCCACGCAAGCACCUUUAAGUCUGGCAAUGCAUCAAGUAAAAAACCCGACCAUGGUCUAUCCCGAGCUUGCCAGGCUCGACCUAUUCUCAAAUUCAUCAGAGCAAAGAUCGAAAUAUUAUUUCACGUUCGGCUCGGGGGCCUAUCCUCGACCUCAACGCAUUGUCAAAAACCCAGCCACAAGAGCUAGGGAUAUUAUUUCACAUUGGACUCGGGCUAUGUUCUGGAGCUCAAAUUAUUGUCAAACCCCAGCCAACAAACUUGAGAUAAAUAUAUUCAGAAUAGGAUUGAGCUUCCAAUUAGCCUCCUAUAUGAAACUUUGUUUAUUCGUCAAACUCAUUACUUCCAAAACUUUUUAAAAAGCUCGAAGUCGAGCUCGUUCUUUUCAACUUCUAAACAAGGUAGAGGUCAAGCUCUUUCACUUCAAGUACUGAUAAAGCUUGAGGUUGAGCUCAUUCAUGCCAAAUUCUUUUACAAGGUCGAAGUCGAGCUCAGUUCUCU